CUGUUCUAUCCUCUUUUUUAAAAGAAAUUAAAUCUGUAUGAUUUUAUAACUUCACCUAAAAUCUAUUCCAGAUGGAUGAAGGGAUUCAACAACCAGCAAAACAUCAAACCAAAACUGGCCACUUAA